GUCGCCGGGGGAAGGAGGGAAAUGGCACCGGCGACGGGGCGGAAGUAAAGGCAUUCAUCAGCAGUGGUAUCCGUCAGACUAAGCCUCCACUGCACAUCUAACCGACUAAGGAGC
rnacentral:sRNA from 22 species